rnacentral:rRNA from 1 species
CCCUUAGAUGUUCUGGGCUGCACGCGCGCUACACUGAUACUUUCAGCGAGUCCACCACCUUGCCUGAGAGGGUGGGGUAACCUCUGGAAAGUGUAUCGUGAUGGGGAUCGAUUAUUGUAAUUAUUAAUCUUCAACGAGGAAUUCCUAGUAAGCAUGUGUCAUCAGCCCGUGCUGAUUACGUCCCUGCCCUUUGUACACACCGCCCGUCGCUCCUACCGAUUGGGUGUGCUGGUGAAAUGUUCGGAUCGGCCGUUUGUCGCGGUUUCCGCGGCUCGUGGCUGAGAAGUUCAUUAAACCCUCCCACCUAGAGGAAGGAGAAGUCGUAACA